rnacentral:lncRNA from 1 species
AUUUUCUUGACUCUUCUGUUAUUUUGUAGUCAAAAAAAAACAAUGAAUAUUUCAGUCUGUUUCCUUCAUUCCCAGAGCACAUGGGAAAUAUUGUACUUUUCUGGAAACAGGUAAAAAUAAUAAAAAUUCUUGACUGUUAUAAGGUUUCUUGAUAGCAAUGUGUUUGAAAAUUGGACUUCUCUCUUUCUUAACAUAUAACCAUACAGAUAUCUUAAGUCUCUGGUUAAUUUAUAGAAUGGGAUCCUGUCUUUAAAUAUGAGAAGCAUAUAAAUGUGUAAUCUUUCAUAUAACUUCAUUAAUUUUCAGCUGUUCCCAUAAUCGAAACUAAUAGUUAUUGGUAUUUGCAAUCCAAGGCCCUAUGGUCUUCCAUCAGUGGAUUGGCGUUAUGAAUCUAAUGAACCAUCAUGUCACACUGUUUUAGGAGCUAAAGUGCUUUAGGGUUACCAAAGCCUCAAAGUGUAAACACAGAUGUUAACAGGGAUUAUCAAUGAUAGAGCGGCUUAGGUAAUUAUUACUGUUUUUUCUUUCAGUUUUUUCCUUUUUAAGGCAAUUGAAAAAAAAACAGUGAUCCUAUAGGGCUUAUGUAAGAAGGUUUCUGUCAAACUGGUUUAGUAGCAGGUUGUUUUCCUAAGUCUGGGCAAAAGACACCACUAUUCCAUCAUCUCUCUGCUGCUUCACUUCACUAACAAUAAAAUAUGAGGCUUUCCAGAUUCUAGGCUGUAUCUCACUAAAAAUUUGUGGCACUCAAUGGCUGGAGUGUUAGUCUAUUUUUAAUUUAUUUCAACCUUGGCUGUUUUUUUAAAG